rnacentral:rRNA from 1 species
GUGAAUCAUCGAAUCUUUGAACGCAUAUUGCGCUCUCUGGCUCUCCAGAGAGCAUGCCUGUUUGAGUAUCAGUUUUAACCUUCACAAAUCCCCUUGGGGUAUGUGGAACUGAGCGGUCCGCUUCGUGGCGGUCGCUUGAAUGAUAUAGCGAACGAUACUGACCACUGCUUAACGUGGCUAGGCGUAUUAGUUUCCCGUUAUGGGAAUCCACUCUUGCGCCGGUGUAAUGUCUCCUAAGCCUUUGUGCUGGUUGAUCGCGUCGCUCUAAACAUAGUGUACCCUCGGGUGCCUACCGAGUUUGUGUAGCAGAAUGCCACACAACUUGACUCUUGAUCUCAAAUCAGGCAAGACUACCCGCUGAAUUUAAGCAUAUCAAUAAGCGGAGG